CAGUCGCCGCGGGAAUACGAAGGGUGCGAGCGUUAAUCGGAAUUACUGGGCGUAAAGCGUGCGCAGGCGGUUGUGUAAGACAGGUGUGAAAUCCCCGGGCUUAACCUGGGAACUGCGCUUGUGACUGCACAGCUAGAGUAUGGCAGAGGGGGGUGGAAUUCCACGUGUAGCAGUGAAAUGCGUAGAGAUGUGGAGGAACACCGAUGGCGAAGGCGGCCAUCUGGGACAACACUGACGCUGAGGCACGAAAGCGUGGGGAGCAAACAGGAUUAGAGACCCGCGUAGUCCCUGUCUCUUAUAC
rnacentral:rRNA from 1 species